UGGGGAAUAUUGCACAAUGGAGGAAACUCUGAUGCAGCGACGCCGCGUGAGUGAUGAAGUAUUUCGGUAUGUAAAGCUCUAUCAGCAGGGAAGAUAAUGACGGUACCUGACUAAGAAGCCCCGGCUAACUACGUGCCAGCAGCCGCGGUAAUACGUAGGGGGCAAGCGUUAUCCGGAUUUACUGGGUGUAAAGGGAGCGCAGACGGUUUUGCAAGUCUGAAGUGAAAUCCCACGGCUCAACUGUGGAAUUGCUUUGGAAACUACAUAACUUGAGUACUGGAGAGGUAAGCGGAAUUCCUGGUGUAGCGGUGAAAUGCGUAGAUAUCAGGAAGAACAUCAGUGGCGAAGGCGGCUUACUGGACAGCAACUGACGUUGAGGCUCGAAAGCGUGGGGAGCAAACAGGAUUAGAUACCCUGGUA
rnacentral:rRNA from 1 species